rnacentral:rRNA from 1 species
CCCUUAGAUGUUCUGGGCCGCACACGCGCUACACUGAAGGAGGCAGCGUGUACUCCUGGAUCGAAAGAUUUGGGUAACCCGCGAAUCUCCUUCGUGCUAGGGAUUGAGGUUUGCAAUUAUCCUUCAUGAACGAGGAAUUCCCAGUAAGUGCAAGUCAUAAGCUUGCGCUGACUACGUCCCUGCCCUUUGUACACACCGCCCGUCGCUACUACCGAUUGAAUGAUUUAGUGAGGACUUCGGACUGGGACCGAUGCGGCUUUCGGGCUGCGUCGGUAUUCUGGAAAGAUGUCCAAACUGUAUCGUUUAGAGGAAGUAAAAGUCGUANCA